rnacentral:rRNA from 1 species
GACGAACGCUGGCGGCGUGCCUAAUACAUGCAAGUAGAACGCUGAAGAGAGGAGCUUGCUCUUCUUGGAUGAGUUGCGAACGGGUGAGUAACGCGUAGGUAACCUGCCUUGUAGCGGGGGAUAACUAUUGGAAACGAUAGCUAAUACCGCAUAACAAUGGAUGACACAUGUCAUUUAUUUGAAAGGGGCAAUUGCUCCACUACAAGAUGGACCUGCGUUGUAUUAGCUAGUAGGUGAGGUAAUGGCUCACCUAGGCGACGAUACAUAGCCGACCUGAGAGGGUGAUCGGCCACGCUGGGACUGAGGCACGGCCCAGCCUCCUACGGGAGGCAGCCGUAGGGAAUCUUCGGCAAUGGGGGCAACCCUGAACGAGCGACGCCGCGUGAGUGAAGAAGGUUUUCGGAUCGUAAAGCUCUGUUGUAAGUCAAGAACGGGUGUGAGAGUGGAAAGUUCACACUGUGACGGUAGCUUACCAGAAAGGGACGGCUAACUACGUG